CCGUAGUUCAAUGGAUAGAGCGUCAGCCUCCGGAGCUGAAGAUGUGGGUUCGACUCCUCCCAA
rnacentral:tRNA from 1 species